AACGAACGCUGGCGGCAUGCCUAACACAUGCAAGUCGAACGAGACCUUCGGCUCUAGUGGCGCACGGGUGCGUAACGCGUGGCAACCUGCCCUUACGUUCGGAAUAACUCCCCCAAAGGCGUGCUAAUACCGGAUAAUGUCUUCGGACCAAAGACUUACCGCGUUUGGAUGGGCCCGCGUUGGAUUAGCUAGUUGGUAGGGUACGAGCCUGCCAAGGCGACGAUCCAUAGCUGGUCGGAGAGGAUGACCGGCGAAACUGGGACUGAGACACGGCCCAUACGCCUACGGGAGGCAGCAUGUGGGAAUAUUGGACAAUGGGCGAAAGCCUGAUCCAGCAAUGCCGCGUGAGUGAUGAAGGCCUUAGGGUUGUGAAGGUCUUUUACCCGGGAUGAUAAUGACAGUACCGGGAGAAUAAGCUCCGGCUAACUCCGUG
rnacentral:rRNA from 1 species